rnacentral:rRNA from 1 species
CGCCUGGGGAGUACGGGUGAGGUAACGGCUCACCAAGGCGACGACGGGUAGCCGGCCUGAGAGGGUGACCGGCCACACUGGGACUGAGACACGGCCCAGACUCCUACGGGAGGCAGCAGUGGGGAAUAUUGCACAAUGGGCGCAAGCCUGAUGCAGCAACGCCGCGUGGGGGACGACGGCCUUCGGGUUGUAAACCUCUUUUAGCAGGGAAGAAGCGCAAGUGACGGUACCUGCAGAAAAAGCACCGGCUAACUACGUGCCAGCAGCCGCGGUAAUACGUAGGGUGCAAGCGUUGUCCGGAAUUAUUGGGCGUAAAGAGCUCGUAGGCGGUUUGUCGCGUCUGCUGUGAAAGUCCGAGGCUCAACCUCGGACCUGCAGUGGGUACGGGCAAACUAGAGUGCGGUAGGGGAGAUUGGAAUUCCUGGUGUAGCGGUGGAAUGCGCAGAUAUCAGGAGGAACACCAAUGGCGAAGGCAGAUCUCUGGGCCGUAACUGACGCUGAGGAGCGAAAGCGUGGGGAGCGAACAGGAUUAGAUACCCUGGUAGUCCACGCCGUAACGGUGGGAACUAGAUGUGGGGUCCGUUCCACGGAUUCCGUGUCGCAGCUAACGCAUUAAGUUCCCCGCCUGGGGAGUACGG